UGCUAGUUGCCGAGUUUAGACUCGUAGCAUAUAGCUCAGUAACACGUGGCCAAACUACCCUACAGACCGCGAUAACCUCGGGAAACUGAGGCCAAUAGCGGAUAUAACUCUCAUGCUGGAGUGCCGAGAGUUAGAAACGUUCCGGCGCUGUAGGAUGUGGCUGCGGCCGAUUAGGUAGAUGGUGGGGUAACGGCCCACCAUGCCGAUAAUCGGUACAGGUUGUGAGAGCAAGAGCCUGGAGACGGUAUCUGAGACAAGAUACCGGGCCCUACGGGGCGCAGCAGGCGCGAAACCUUUACACUGCACGACAGUGCGAUAGGGGGACUCCGAGUGUGAGGGCAUAUAGCCCUCGCUUUUCUGUACCGUAAGGUGGUACAGGAACAAGGACUGGGCAAGACCGGUGCCAGCCGCCGCGGUAAUACCGGCAGUCCAAGUGAUGGCCGAUAUUAUUGGGCCUAAAGCGUCCGUAGCUUGCUGUGUAAGUCCAUUGGGAAAUCGACCAGCUCAACUGGUCGGCGUCCGGUGGAAACUACACAGCUUGGGGCCGAGAGACUCAACGGGUACGUCCGGGGUAGGAGUGAAAUCCUGUAAUCCUGGACGGACCACCA
rnacentral:rRNA from 1 species